rnacentral:rRNA from 1 species
CCUACGGGGUGCACCAGUGGGGAAUAUUGCACAAUGGGCGCAAGCCUGAUGCAGCCAUGCCGCGUGUAUGAAGAAGGCCUUAGGGUUGUAAAGUAUUUUCAGUUGGGAGGAAGGCGUUGAUGCUAAUAUCAUCAACGAUUGACGUUACCAACAGAAGAAGCACCGGCUAACUCCGUGCCAGCAGCCGCGGUAAUACGGAGGGUGCAAGCGUUAAUCGGAAUUACUGGGCGUAAGGCGCACGCAGGCGGUUGAUUAAGUUAGAUGUGAAAUCCCCGGGCUUAACCUGGGAAUGGCAUCUAAGACUGGUCAGUUAGAGUCUUGUAGAGGGGGGGUAGAAUUCCAUGUGUAGCGGUGAAAUGCGUAGAGAUGUGGAGGAAUACCGGUGGCGAAGGCGGCCCCCUGGACAAAGACUGACGCUCAGGUGCGAAAGCGUGGGGAGCAAACAGGAUUAGAUACCCGGGUAG